rnacentral:tRNA from 1 species
UCCCUGAUGGUCUAGUGGCUUAAGACUUCGCCUUCCAAUGCAUGGGGUGCAGGUUCAAUCCCUGGUCAGGGAG